rnacentral:rRNA from 1 species
CCUACGGGAGGCAGCAGUAAGGAAUAUUGGUCAAUGGACGAAAGUCUGAACCAGCCAUGCCGCGUGAAGGAUGACGGCCCUCUGGGUUGUAAACUUCUUUUAUAUGGGACGAAAAAAGGGAAUUCUUUCUCACUUGACGGUACCAUAGGAAUAAGCACCGGCUAACUCCGUGCCAGCAGCCGCGGUAAUACGGAGGGUGCAAGCGUUAUCCGGAUUCACUGGGUUUAAAGGGUGCGUAGGUGGGUAGGUAAGUCAGUGGUGAAAUCUCCGAGCUUAACUCGGAAACUGCCAUUGAUACUAUUUAUCUUGAAUUUUUUUGGAGGUGAGCGGAAUAUGUCAUGUAGCGGUGAAAUGCUUAGAUAUGACAUAGAACACCAAUUGCGAAGGCAGCUCACUACGAAAUUAUUGACACUGAGGCACGAAAGCGUGGGGAUCAAACAGGAUUAGAUACCCUGGUAGUCCACGCCCUAAACGAUGGAUACUCGACAUCAGCGAUACACUGUUGGUGUCUGAGCGAAAGCAUUAAGUAUCCCACCUGGGAAGUACGACCGCAAGGUUGAAACUCAAAGGAAUUGACGG